rnacentral:rRNA from 1 species
UACGGAGGGUGCAAGCGUUAUCCGGAUUCACUGGGUUUAAAGGGUGCGUAGGCGGAUAGGUAAGUCCGUGGUGAAAUCCUGCAGCUUAACUGCAGAACUGCCAUGGAUACUAUUUAUCUUGAAUAUCGUGGAGGUUAGCGGAAUAUGUCAUGUAGCGGUGAAAUGCUUAGAUAUGACAUAGAACACCAAUUGCGAAGGCAGCUCACUACACAAUUAUUGACUCUGAGGCACGAAAGCGUGGGGAUCAAACAGG